rnacentral:rRNA from 1 species
GACGAACGCUGGCGGCGUGCUUAACACAUGCAAGUCGAACGAAGUGGCGAACGGGGGAGUAACGCGUAAUCAACCUGCCCUUCAGAGGGGGACAACAGUUGGAAACGACUGCUAAUACCGCAUACGGAAGGAGGGGAUUGCGUCUGAUUAGCUAGUUGGCGGGGUAACGGCCCACCAAGGCGAUGAUCAGUAGCCGGUCUGGGAGGAGGAACGGCCACAUGGGGAAGGAGACACGGCCCAGACUCGUACGGGAGGCAGCAGUGGGGAAUCUGCCGCAAUGGACGAAAGUCUGACGGAGCAACGCCGCGUGAGUGAGGACGGCCUUCGGGUUGUAAAGCUCUGUUAAUCGGGACGCGGUACCGGAAUAGAAAGCCACGGCUAACUACGUGCCAGCAGCCGCGGUAAUUC